rnacentral:rRNA from 1 species
GUUUGAUCAUGGCUCAGAUUGAACGCUGGCGGCAUGCCUUACACAUGCAAGUCGAACGGCAGCACGGGGGCAACCCUGGUGGCGAGUGGCGAACGGGUGAGUAAUGCAUCGGAACGUGCCCAGUAGUGGGGGACAACCAGUCGAAAGAUUGGCUAAUACCGCAUACGACCUACGGGUGAAAGCGGGGGACCGUAAGGCCUCGCGCUAUUGGAGCGGCCGAUGUCUGAUUAGCUAGUUGGCGGGGUAAAAGCCCACCAAGGCGACGAUCAGUAGCUGGUCUGAGAGGACGACCAGCCACACUGGGACUGAGACACGACCCAGACUCCUACGGGAGGCAGCAGUGGGGAAUUUUGGACAAUGGGCGCAAGCCUGAUCCAGCCAUGCCGCGUGCGGGAAGAAGGCCUUCGGGUUGUAAACCGCUUUUGGCAGGAACGAAACGGCGAUUCCUAAUACGAGUCGUUAAUGACGGUACCUGCAGAAUAAGCACCGGCUAACUACGUGCCAGCAGCCGCGGUAAUACGUAGGGUGCAAGCGUUAAUCGGAAUUACUGGGCGUAAAGCGUACGCAGGCGGCUUUGCAAGACAGGUGUGAAAUCCCCGGGCCUAACCUGGGAACUGCAUUUGUGACUGCAUGGCUAGAGUCUGUCAGAGGGGGGUGGAAUUCCACGUGUAGCAGUGAAAUGCGUAGAGAUGUGGAAGAACACCGAUGGCGAAGGCAGCCGCCUGGGAUGAGACUGACGCUCAUGUACGAAAGCGUGGGGAGCAAACAGGAUUAGAUACCCUGGUAGUCCACGCCCUAAACGAUGUCUACUAGUUGUCGGAGGGUAACUCCUUCGGUAACGCAGCUAACGCGUGAAGUAGACCGCCUGGGGAGUACGGUC